rnacentral:lncRNA from 1 species
GCGUAUAGGAUUGCUUUUGUAAAUUUUACAAUUAUUCAAUUUCACAAUAACGUUAGUAAAAAAAGGAUUGUGACAAUAAUCUCUCUUGAGGAUUUAUGACGAUUUUCAAGAUGACGGAAUAAUAAAUAAAUAAUGAUAUGGUGAUAGGGGUGUGAAGUUUCCACCCGGAAAUUAGAAACCGAUCGCUUUCACAAACUGAGACGCGAGAACACCCACUGAUUCUGAGAAUCAACUACCAGUCCGAUGAUCCAGUUCCUCGGUGAGUUCAUAGAAUCUGCCAAGGAAUGCUUUUUGGACAGCAUUGUGGGUAGAACUAAAAGAUCAGCUCCGAUAAUAAAGACAAGAUAUGACGAAGUUUGAAAACCAUGAUAGAAGGCAUUUUUGUGAUUUAUAUAUCAACAAAGAUGGAAGAAAUCACUUCAAGUCUUCGGGUCAUAAGGCUAAUGUUCUGAAUUUAGAGACUCGCCCUAGAGAAAAACGAAGCUCAAACGACGGAGGUGCCAAUUGCAACCGAAAAGUAGUGAAACUACGAAGCUCAUCUUCUGCAGACAACUAUCCGAUUGAACACGGAGCAACACGGCGACACACAAACUGAACUGCGUGGAUGAAUCACAAGAAAACUGACACCCCGAGCAUAAAAUCGGCAGUUACUCUCCCCAUCGCUGAUCCCAAACUGCCUAAACAGAAAACGAAGAGAACGGCAACGAGGCCCAUACCUUUGACUCGAACGACAGGGCCGGGACUGGAGCGGCAAAGACGCGGCGCGAAGGAUGGCACGCGGACGGCAAAAGAAGAAGCUUAAAGAGCCAUGGCGAGUACCGAUUUCUGCAACCGAAGCGGUGGAGAAGGAGGAAGAAAUGAAAACUGGCUAGAGAGCGUG